GACGAACGCUGGCGGCGUGCUUAACACAUGCGAGUCGAACGGAAAGGCCCUGCUUUUGUGGGGUGCUCGAGUGGCGAACGGGUGAGUAACACGUGAGUAACCUGCCCUUGACUUUGGGAUAACUUCAGGAAACUGGGGCUAAUACCGGAUAGGAGCUCCUGCUGCAUGGUGGGGGUUGGAAAGUUUCGGCGGUCGGGGAUGGACUCGCGGCUUAUCAGCUUGUUGGUGGGGUAGUGGCUUACCAAGGCUUUGACGGGUAGCCGGCCUGAGAGGGUGACCGGCCACAUUGGGACUGAGAUACGGCCCAGACUCCUACGGGAGGCAGCAGUGGGGAAUAUUGCACAAUGGGCGGAAGCCUGAUGCAGCAACGCCGCGUGCGGGAUGACGGCCUUCGGGUUGUAAACCGCUUUCGCCUGUGACGAAGCGUGAGUGACGGUAAUGGGUAAAGAAGCACCGGCUAACUACGUG
rnacentral:rRNA from 1 species